CCUACGGGGCGCAGCAGUGAGGAAUAUUGGUCAAUGGACGAGAGUCUGAACCAGCCAAGUAGCGUGAAGGAUGACUGCCCUAUGGGUUGUAAACUUCUUUUAUAUGGGAAUAAAAUGUUCCACGUGUGGGAUUUUGUAUGUACCAUAUGAAUAAGGAUCGGCUAACUCCGUGCCAGCAGCCGCGGUAAUACGGAGGAUCCGAGCGUUAUCCGGAUUUAUUGGGUUUAAAGGGAGCGUAGGUGGAUUGUUAAGUCAGUUGUGAAAGUUUGCGGCUCAACCGUAAAAUUGCAGUUGAAACUGGCAGUCUUGAGUACAGUAGAGGUGGGCAGAAUUCGUGGUGUAGCGGUGAAAUGCUUAGAUAUCACGAAGAACUCCGAUUGCGAAGGCAGUUCACUGGACUGCAACUGACACUGAGGCUCGAAAGUGUGGGUAUCAAACAGGAUUAGAUACCCCAGUAGUC
rnacentral:rRNA from 1 species